rnacentral:rRNA from 1 species
AUACGUAGGUGACAAGCGUUAUCCGGAUUUACUGGGCGUAAAGGGCGUGUAGGCGGUCUUGCAAGUCAGAAGUGAAAUUCCUGAGCUCAACUCGGGCGCUGCUUCUGAAACUGCAGGACUUGAGUGCUGGAGGGGAUGCCGGAAUUCCAGGUGUAGGGGUGAAAUCUGUAGAUAUCUGGAAGAACACCGAUGGCGAAGGCAGGCAUCUGGCCGGAGACUGACGCUGAGGCGCGAAGGCGCGGGGAGCGAACAGGUUUAGAUACCCUGGUAGUCCGCGCAGUAAACGAUGCGCACCAGGUGUCGGGCGGCAGCGCCCGGUACCGGAGCUAACGCGAUGAGUGCGCCGCCUGGGGAGUAUGCCCGCAAGGGUGAAACUCAAAUGAAUUGACGGGG